AGUGGUAGGAGAUUCAAAUUUGAAUUCGAAUUAGAGGUUUUAGGGUUUAUACAUUAGUAGAUGUGCGAGAUAUGGAUUAAUUGGAGAGCGGAUGGGUUCCGUCGCGAAUCCGUGACCAAAUCGGAUGAAACGAAAUCAUAGUUUCGAUGCCCCCGACGUGCUGAACGCAAAGGUGCUUUCGGAUCGAAAAUCCGACGGACGGAUCUCUGGUAAUUGUGAAGUUUUCGUUAAGAGGUCGAAGGUGGCAAUAUGGAAAAUCCGCGAAAAGCGCGACAUUUUAUGUACCGAAUCGCGGGAGAUCGGUCGUGGAGGUAGGUACGCGCAAGUUGCAUGCCCUGGCAGGGGCUGAA
rnacentral:lncRNA from 1 species